ensembl:antisense Gm4673 predicted gene 4673
GUCUGUCUUUGGUGACGGCCGGGCGCGUACACACACACAGGCCCGGGGACUCUACACGGGACCACCACCGGUUGGAACGCAGGCCCGGCUGGAAGGCCGGCAACACGGAUGCGGGGCUCAGAUCGCCGGGGCACAGGGUUUGAAGACUGUAAAACCCCUUUUUUCUUUAAAGCCUCUUCUAAGAGUCGCCCAUCAUACUGAGGGUCCCGUGACCUGAAGCCAGCAUCCCGAGGAUCGUGGGAUCGCUGACGGGAUCUGGGGUCAGCACGUGGAUCCCUAGACCUCAAAUCAUCAUAAUAGUGGGGAUCUCGGGAAUGUGGCAAGUCUCUAGGAUCGUCGGGGUCAUAGAGGUCAUCCCGGCUGCGACUUCUCGGAGGUGCAUAGGCCCGCCCUCUCCGUCCACUACUUGGAGAAGACCUUCCUGAUUCAGUGGAGCCAGGCCGGUUGAUGUCAUCUAGAGCAUCCACAGAGCGGGCCCGAGGCCGCCCAGACCCCCAACCACCCCUUGGCUGUUCUUGAAGGGGUUCCUGCUCCCAUGUUCUGGGACUCCGAGGGGAGUGGCGAUUCCACUCCUCAUCCCUGAUGGGUGUGAGGGCAGGAGCCCUGGAAGGCCGAGAUCGCCAGUCAUCUUCAUGGAGGGAGGUUACUUCACUCAUGGCUGUAGAGAAGGGAGAUAUCACUGGUACUAAGACAGGUCCAAUCUUGUCACCCAUACACUAACACCCUCCCCGGGGAGCACCACAGGCAAGCAUGCUUUCAUCCCCUUUAGACUCAGGUCUGCAGCUCACCCCGUUCCACUCGGCCAUUGGGAGGGCCAGGCCGGGAAGGAUCGAAGUUGGCUAGCUCCUUCUCCAUAUAGUAUAGGACCCUCAUGGAGUCAUCUUGCUGGUUAGCCUGGAUCCUGUAGCCACUUCGUACUUCUGAAGAGAGGAACAAGGUGAUUGGUUUGGGAGGGGAUGUGCAUGUGAAUCAACCCUCCAGGCAACGACCCCUUCAAAAUCACAGCAUCUUACCUGAAGAUAUACUCCCAUCCACUUCACGAAGCAGGGGCACCUGGGAGCUGUGGCCACCAACUAAUAGAGACUGGUUAUCAGUGACACUUGCCAUUUGGAGCAGAGUUGGGCACUCCCAAUCUCCCAUGCUCCCUUCCAGCCCCAUCCCACCUCUUGUCUGGAUUCCCCAAGGCCUCACCUGAGCUGGUCCUGUCAAAGUCUCCAGGGUACCCAUAGGGAGGACGCAUGGGAAUCAUGGCAGGCGGAGGUGGCGGAGUCUUGGCAGGAGAGAGGUGGGUAUAGAUGCUGGGGGCAUAGAUGCUUGGCACACCUGAGGUGGCUGCUUUGCCAGCAGCAUAAACUGGGAAGGCAGAAUGGCAUGAGCAUGAUCAGAAGCUGUGCGGCCCCAUGCUGGGAUGGGAUUCUGGGACAUGGUUCUGCCCUCCAUACCACCCAUGCAGUACUCUAGACUAGGGACACAGCCUUCACCCUACGUCCUAUCCGACUUCUCAUGGAGUUGAGAACAGUGGUGUACACUGAUACAUCAGAGGCCCAAUCCAUACAUGGUGGUUUGCCAACAGCUGACAAGGGAAAGAUUUCAUGUGAAAAUCCAGAGCAGUGGUCUGUGUUUGGGUACUAGGACUAGGUGUCUUUCCACUGAACUACAUUCCCAACUUCAGCCCCUUCCCCCCUUCUUGAGACAAGGACUCCUAAGUGGCUGAGGAAGAACCCUAAACUCUGUAGCCAAGAUAAACCUUGAACUUGAGGUCCUCCUGCCUCAGCCGUCAUACAAUCGAAGAAGGGCAGGUCUGUAUCUAAAGGCAUUAGUAGGCAAAGUCACUGUCAUUAUAUAAAGCCCCUGUUCUGGGCUAGCUACUGUCCCCAUAAGCUGGGCAGCCUAGCCUGUACUGUGGGAAAGUCAAGUCUGUUGGGUCCAUAACAUCCUGUCACCUCCCAGAUGUAGUAAGUGGAGUAAGGCAGACACACGGGAGCCCCAGAAGUUACCUUGCCUGCACCCUAGAGUAAUGCAGUCCCUUGCGGGUUUCUAACUACUGGCCUUACUCACCCGGCUGAGUCUCGCUUGACAGUUCAAGGGUGAACUGUCCUCAGGCUAGAGGCUGGGUGUUCUCCCCAUCAUUCACAUUCACAUUCAUUGUGUGUGUGCAAGUCAGAAGAUCACUUGCAGAAAUUUGCUCUCCAUCCACCACAGGGGUCCUAGGGAUCAGACUUCCGCUGCAGGCUUGGAGCUGCUGCCUUUACUAACUGAACCAACCACCUUACUAGCCCUGGACUUUUUUUUUUUUUUUUUAAAAGACUUCCAUUGUGUGUGUGUGUGUUGAGGGUUGUGGACAUGGAUAUGUGCAUUUGAGUAUAGGUGCCUGUGGAGGCCAGAGGAAUACGAUAGCCCUGAAGUGGGAAGUGCUGAACUGAGAAUCAAAUUCUGGCCCUCUUUAUGGGAGCAAGUGUUUUUUUUGUUUGUUUGUUUGUUUGUUUGUUUGGCUUUUUUGUUUGUUUUGUUUUUAACCACUGGGCUCUUUAUUUGCUUUUUCAAGGCAUGGUUUCUCGGUGUUACAGCCCAGGCUUGUCCUGGAACUUGCUUUGUAGACCAGGCUAGCUUCGAACGCACAGAGCACCAGGGCCAAAGGUGUGCUCCACCACACCCAGCUAAUCUCUCCAGUCUUGAAGGGCUCCAGAGUUUUAAGACCAGCCAGCUUGAGUUAGGAAGACAGUCUUGAAAUAAGUAAAAAGAGGCCUGGGAUAUAGGUUAGUGGCAGAGUGCUUGCUAAGCAUGCUUGUUCAAUACAAAAGUUACUGGACUCUUCUUGGAACCCUACAGGCUUCCUGUAAUUUGGGAGCAGAAAACUUAAGUGCUCAGCUCUCUCCAUGAGGAGUCCCUUCAUUAAUUGACUGGCUGGGUUAUAAUUAGCAGCAGGCUAAUACUUCCAAUAAGGCAGUAAGGAACUGGGGCAGAGAAGACAGGAAGAAACUCCCAUGGGGAAGCACUGGAUUCCUAGGUAUGUGACAAUGGAGUCUAGAUGGACCCAGCUUCAGUCUUAGUGCUCACAGCUCCUGGGGUUCUCUAUAUCCACAUCUAUAAUAUGGACCCACAGCCCAUGUUAGGACAGUCAGAGCACGGAAGGCUUCUCCUUGAGAGUAGUGGUUCAAGCAUACAGCUUGGCUGGUUCAUCCUGGCACCUUCACAGUUGUCUCUUAGUGUUUGGAAGCCAAGAAGUUGGGACCCUAAUAGAGAUGGGAGCCUGGCUUUCAGGUCACACACAGAGCAUAUAACAAGCCCCCCGACCUGUGUGACAGUUCACAGCACUGUCCAACGGGGGCAGGUGUGGUGCAUGCUAUGUGGGUCCCACCAAAUGCUAUCCACAUGCAAACCUCCAAGUUCCUGUUGUGCAGAGCUCUGCUAUAACCUCAUCAGCCCAUCAGGUACCUAGCUGGCCUCCAAGCCCCACUUGGCCCAUUCUCUUCUGUGGGCUAUGUACCAGGGUACAGGGGUACCCAGACAGCCUCCCAGGGGGGAAUUAAAGGGCACCGAGAGAUGGAAUUACCCAUUUUCUUAUCCUCUCUUCCACUGCUUUAUGUAUCUACGUCUUCAUUCUACCCAGUUCCUAUUCCCAGCCCUCCACAGGUAUCCACUUGGAUGUGAGGAAUAUAUCUAAUACAGAGGCUCUACAC